rnacentral:rRNA from 1 species
UGGGGAAUAUUGGACAAUGGGGGGAACCCUGAUCCAGCCAUGCCGCGUGUGUGAAGAAGGCCUUAAGGUUGUAAAGCACUUUAAGCGAGGAGGAGGCUACUCUAGUUAAUACCUAGGGAUAGUGGACGUUACUCGCAGAAUAAGCACCGGCUAACUCUGUG